rnacentral:misc_RNA from 1 species
AACACGUUGAGUUUACGUUAAAAAGGGAAGUCCAUUGCAAUGAACCUCAGCAGCCAGCCGCUUUCUUUUUCCAGAUUAACAUAUAGUCUAGCUCUAAAAUGUAUUGGGAAAAAAUGCUAAAAAAAAUUAUGAAUGAUCUUCAAAAAGAACCAAAAUUUUGUUGAAAAAAUACUCAUAACUAUAUGCUUUAUAACAUACCAUAAUGUUACAACCCCCUCAGCCUUGCUAUUCUCACUCUUGACUUUAUCUUAAAGUAUUCAUCUCACGGAAAAAUUAAAGAAAAU